GAAACUAAAGUUAAGUAUUUUCUAAAUGUUUUUAAACAUAAAAUAUAUACAUAUCCAAACUAUUAUUUUAUGUCUUAAUAAACAUUUAGAAAAUAUUAAAAUUUAGUUUCUUUAUCUUUUUUCAUAGCUGAUAUAUUAUUAUAUAAUAAAAUUAAUUCAUUUAUUAACCCGCAGUUUACUUGCAGUUAAUCCAGUGAUCAGGACCCGGUAAAUCGUCCGGUUCAGUAUCCGGGUCGAGUUUAAAAACAUUGACUAUAACUCAUUUUGACAUCUCUAAUUAUAUGGAACCACGUGAAUUGGUUCAAACCAGUCUGUUUCCUUUCAUAAAUUGAGAUGAAUCAAUCGAGAGAUCUGCAUUUAUUGUAUAUGUAUGUAAAACUAGAAUAAUACAAUUUUUCAAAAUAAAACUACAAUAAUUUUAUACGCAUGGGUACUUUAGGUGUUUGAAAGGUUGUAUUCGUUCAUGGAAGGCAUCAUCAUCAUCAUAACAGAGUUGAUAUUGCACUUGGUGUGGACCUUGCUCUUCUUGCCGUGCAGCAGUUUGACUAUUGAACAGUUUUUUUUCCCGCGGUGUGCUUUCGGAAGGGAGAGGGUUGGGGGUGGUAAAAAGUCAUGGCGGCUUAGAUUAAAAAUGACAAUAUUCAGGUUAUCUUUCUGACCGGUGGUAUCAUCGCUCGGUGGUUCUCUCUGGUGCCGCCAAAAAUAUCUCUGUUGAGUGUUUUGGGUUCCCUCGUGCUUGGAUUCUUUAUCGGAGUCAGGUUGCAACAUGAUGGUUGAAAUUGGAGGGGUCGUUGUUUCAAAGUCUGAAGACUUCUUUUUUUCGAUAGCUUGUAGUGCCCGACUUUUGUCCUCGGCUACUCUUGAUUUCUUUGGUCCAAACCUGUCUCGUUGUCUGGCUUUCAAAAUGUGUUCCACGCACUAUUAUUCUGGGUUUGGUUCAUUGUCAUCUUAGGUUCUAUUGUUUAGUUUAAUUGUAUUUGUAAUUUGAUAUACAAUUUAACUAAAAAUAAAGUUCAUCAACAUCAUGAUCUUAGCUACUAUUAUCCGGGGAUUUGGCAUACAAUCUGCCUAGAAACUAAAUAAAAUAGUUAAGAAUAAAAUUUCUGCAUAUAGAUCUGAACAAUAUCAAUAGAAAAUAUGUUGAAUUCAUGCACAUUCUGCUUAUUUUAUUUUACUCAUAAAAAUAAUUAAGAGAUUGUUAGCAAAAACAUUUUUUAAAAAUUUCAAAAAAUAUUAAAGCCAAAAAUUAUGACAAAACCAUUUAAAUAAAAAAGAAAAUGCAUAAAACUGAGUUAUUAAAGAGAAAUUGCCUAAACUACCAAAUUCCUAAUACCACAUUUCAUGUUUACCUCAACCACAUUUACUUUAACUUGUAUGAUUUUGGAAUGUAGAUUUAGGAUUUUAAAAAAUAUAUAAUUUUUUUUUAAUAAUUUCAAAAAAAAAUUUUGAAACUUUGCAAAAAAAAGUUUGACAAAAAUCAAAAUUUUAAAGCAAAAAGAGAAAAUUAUUAAAAGUUAUACUUUGAAAAUGUAUAAUUCGAAAACUGUAAAAAAUAUAUUUUUAAUUUAUUCAAAUAAUUAUUUAUAUUUAUAUAUCUAUUAAGCAAAUGUAGAAAAAUCUUUUAUAUCUUUAAUGAAGAAAGUAUUUAUGAAAAUGUUUAUUCAAUGAAGGUAAUGAAUUGUGAUACCAAAAAAAGGUAAAAGUGAAAUUUACCCGUUAUUAAAAGAAAAUCUUACAAUACUAAAAAAGCUUAAUGCUCAAUGGAGAGAGCUGUCACGUCCUCUUAAAAGAUCCACCAAUCAUGAAGUUCUUUUUUGCCAUGUCAUUCUAUCUUUGUAUAACAAAAUGGACUAACCAUUGGGAUGUCAACAUUUUCGUAAUGGCCCACUGUUGACACAUUUCUCCUACGCCUAGGGUGUGUAUCAAAGUCGAACAUAUUGACUCUUCCACUUCAUCUUCUUUGUUACCAUUAUCUGAAAAUCAACGUUAUCACAUUCGUCCUUGAUCAAUUAAUUGUUUUCUUUACUCCACUCUUUAUGAAUUCGUUUCACCUCUCUUUGUUUCUUUUUCUGUAUAAAUCCAACCAAAAUCCAAAACCUUCACUGAAGAAAUUGAAGCUGUGGCAAUGAAAUCCAAAGGGAUGUCUCCUGUCUCCACCAGAAAGUAUCCAGCCUAAUGGGAACUACGGUUCCGGUUAAUCCAUUUCGUUGGAGCUGUUUGGUAGAUGUGUGGUUGUAGAGUUGCAGAAAUGGGGCAAAGUUUAUUCUGAGUAUCUCGAGGCUUUCUCCUUCACGUAAUCUUCCUUUCCUUUUCCAAGCUAUAUUUAAAUCGCUAUAAGAUAAGUGUUUAAUAAUGUAUAGAAUGUGAUUAUUAUUUUAUAAGUUGCAGACAUAGAUUUUGUAUAAUUUUUAUAUUUCAUUUGUACAGUUGAGAUAAAUAGAUUUCAGUAUUGAAGUUGUGACUUCGUUUUGAUGUGCCAGACCAAUAUGUUGUAAAAUGUAUACUGGGAUUGAUUUGCUUUAAUUUGAGCUUUUAGAUGUUAGCAUGAGGAGGAAAAAUCAGUAGACAGUGUUUGUCAGAGGUAUUCGGCCAGGUCCGGCACCCCCGCUCAUCGCCUCUCAUGGAUUCUCUUAUCGGCUCCUCUUUGGAGUUAGGGACAAAAACUUUGAUGGUGUGUUUUAAGUCUUCCUUUCCUAGCUCUGAUGUGACCUAUGUUGUUCUUCCCUUGCCGGAAGAGCAUCAUCCACCAGCAUUUCUCACUAGAUUUGUAAGUGAAAUUUUGUGUCUUCUUUUAAGACUCACUAGAUUGGUCUUUUAAGAGAAUUUAUAGAGUCCUAUGACCAAAACUGGCUGACACAAGCACAUGUUGAGUUUAAUUAGUGUGGUGGAAGCUCAAUGUUAGCUGCUACAGUUUAUUGGGACGAAGAAUUAUAUUCGGCGCCGGAAAAUUAUAAUAAAGCACUUCAGGAGACUAUGCAUCAGAUUAACAUAGAUGAAUUCAAGUUUGUUAUGUUGUGGUGGGUUACGAAGGGAAUCUCUAGGAGUAUAUGUUCUGAGGAAGAAUCAUGUCCCUAUAAAAGGGGCAUAUUACAUGUGUUAGAGAAGGCUUUGGAGAUGACCAUUAGAAGAGUUCUUCCCUUAGCAAGGUAGGUUAGUGACCAUGUUUGUAUCUAUUUUUAACACAAUUAUGGUUCUCAUUUAACUUAUUGUGUUUUUGUUUGAAAAAUCAGGUAGUGCUUGCUCGCAACAGCAUAGUUAUAACAUUCAAUCAUUGAUCACAUUGCUUGGCUUGCAUAGUUACAGGUGUGUGCUCUAGAUAUUUACAUAGUAAUAAAAGCAAAGUUAAGACUUGAAUCACACUCUAAUUAUUAUUGUGUUACAGCGCAUACCAGUUCUGUCUUCAGCCACCAGGUGCACCAGCUUUUAUCUGAAACACAGUAUGUUACAAGUAGUCUGCUGAUACAUUUUAUUUGAUUUCAGUAGUUCACAUAUCAGGACGAAACAUGUCUGAUAUUAAAAUAUUUGUGUGACAUGCAUCUUUGUGAAACAGCAUGAGAGACUUUUCCAAAGGACUUAGAUAGGUGUCUGCAAUAAAGGUUUGGCUACAACUAGGCCUCGAGUUGCUCUAAAGGCUUGUGAUAUGCGAGAUAGAACGUGACUUGCUAACCAGGUCAUUUAUUUUUUGUUAAUCUUAUUCUUUUGCGUGAAAUUUUUUCUUUUUGCAGAGAUUAAAGAAGGGUCAAAAUAAUAAGGAAAAUUUUAAGGGUUCAGAAUACCUUUUUACCCCUUUUUUAAGUUUAACUUUCAAAGCAAUAUAUAUUCAUAUAUUAUCAGAUAUUUUUAUCUUAUUAGUCUGUCACACUUUGAAGCCAAAUUACAAAUAUCAUAUGGUUUAUGAAAAGUAUGCUCACCAAUUUUAGGAAGCAUUCGCUUGAGGGCUACAAACAGAUAUACAAACUAUCUAGUGACAUUGCUUCGUCAACCAAAAUCUCUUCUUUUUUCAUGAAAGUUAUCUUUUCUUUCUAUGAAGUAUUGUUGUAAAUAUAAAAUAAUUUGUUUUUCUGAUGAUCCUGGUAUCCGAAGCUUCGAGAGGAUUCGAGUAGCGCCAAUGACCGUCCACUGGAGCUUAGCUGGGGAGCCCGCCGAGGCAUCCAGGAGAACUGGUGAUCACCCAUGUAAAUCCUACCAGUGGCCCUGCUAACUUCUCUGUAUUACGCUCGAAGGUCCCUCAAGAUAAUCACUUCUUAGCGGCACUCGAACUCAUGACCUCCCAAGUUGAGUUUAACCACUGGACAACUAGCACAAAAGAAAAUCCUCAAAGAUCAUGUUAGUGUUUAACAUGGUUCUCUCAAAAAACGUAGAACGGAUUUCCUUGCUUUUACAUCAUCAUGAUCUCCUCCCUCUCUUCCACGUGUAGUUAUGUCGUAGAGAACAACUGAAUUAAGAAAUUUUUUUUUUUAAAACAAUCCAAAAUAUAAAUUAUACAUCCUGUCACUUUUUAUAUACACAUUUGUCUGAAAUAAUACAUUUUCCAGAACAAAAAUAUAUAAGUACAUUGUUCUUCUCUCACAUAUUGAUUAUAGUUUUUUUUUGUUGAAAAAACAUAAUGAUUAUAGUUUAUAAGAAACAUAAGCUAAUACUCAAUGUAUUCCCCUGAAAAGCUGAACUAAUAAAGUGUUAUUUUUGUCUAACACAUUAAUGUAACAUCUCGAGUUGUGAUAUAUGGAAAGACUUAAGAGAAUUGAUUUGGCUACCUAUGUCACCAAAGUUAACUUACCUUUUCCGUCACACAUCCGUUUAGAACUCCAGAGUUAAGCGUGUUGGGGCUGGAGUAGUGAAAGGAUGGGUGACCUAUCGGGAAGUGAUUCGCGAUACUGUACAAGUGAGGCGAAAGCACGGGAAAAGGUCGGGUAGUAAUUGCAGGGUCAAUAAACAAGACUCUAGAGCCUUAGAAAAUUAACGGACCGACCGUCAGAUGGAAUGGGGCCCACAGGCCGAGAGAGCGGACGUGGGUGGUCCAUUAGCCGUGGGCGGUCGGGACGUUAUAAGUGGUAUCAGAGCUGAUUAUCCGUCUCAGUUUUGACCUGAGAGGCGUCUUGAGACCUGUCGUGGGACGCAACGAGAACGUUGCAUUCUUUGAGAGGGGGUGAAUUGUAACAUCCCGAGUUGUGAUAUAUGGAAAGACUAAGAGAAAAACUGAAGAUAAAAAUAACUAAAAUUUAAAUAAAAUUAAACAUUAGAAAAAACAGCUAAAACAAUGAAAUGAACCUCCAAAAAGGGGAAAAAUUUAAACCUAAGCGGAUACACACAGAAAAAAUGUAGGAAGUAAAUAGAGAUUAAUAACCAAGAAAAAUAAUAAUAUCAAACUAAAGUGUGUUAGUCAAGCAACUCAUUUUUGGUUUAAUGAAUAGUAAACAUAUUUUAUAACAGCAAAAUAUGUGGUAUAGGCUAAUUUGUUUAGCAACUCAUAUUCCAAAUUUACUAAAAACAAAGGAAAAUAUUAAAAAUGAUCAAUCAAUAAAUAUUUAUAAAAAUAUAAAAUCAGAUAAAACAAUUUUCACAAGAGUAAAAAUAAUAGUUAACAAAUUUAUAAUAUAUAAACCGCGCGUAACACGGUAAAAUCUCUAGUAGAUAUAAAAGAGGUUUUUUUCUUUUCUCCUGCUGCCACAACAACAAGGAGGAUAGGGCUUUUGGUGACACAUGGUAACUAUUUUCUUAACAUCUAGAACUAUUUCGUGAGUUUCGUCAAAUGGCCUUUUAAAUCUUUUGCUGGCCCACGAGUUCUUCGGGUUUGUUCCUCCCACUAUUCAACCGUCACUUUCCCCUUCUCUCCGCCACUCUCCUCUGUCAAAUCCAGCGUCGACUAUACAAGACCACUCCACCAUUCAACUUAUCCUUACUAGACUUCUCCUGAGCUUCUCACUUCCCCUGUAAACUUUACGCCGCCAACUCCGUCUUAUCGCUUGCAGAUUGGGCUUUGUUGCUGAUAAAUUCUAUUGUAUAGAUUCAAACCAGGACCAUGUACUACUAGGGUUUCGUUCAUUGUCACUCUCUGUGACUCUUUGCAUCUCUAGACCCCUGAGCAACGCCGGUGUAAUGUAUUCCGUUAUCAGCUAUCAUCUCCAUUAAUCUGAGCAUUAAAGUCGUAUCCACCACUCUUCCCACUCUUUCGCAUUUAGAGGGCCUCAUCAUUCCAAUGUAAUGGAUUGAAUGUCCGUGUAUAAAUGUGUUCUUUUCCUGCAAUGAAAACCACCAAUUGAGAUGUAUUGUAACCUCUCUGUUUCUAACCAUGUCUCUUUAUUUACUUUAUGUGUCUUCAGGCAACUAGGCAUGCUCACAGAGUCUAUGUUGGUGGGCUUUCACCUGUGGCAAACGAAGAGGUUAGUAACCACUUUCUUUGUGAUAUCUAGAUGAUUUUAUCUCCUAUUUCCUGCUUUAUGUAUCUUUAGAGCUGUGUUUGGUUCGGUUCAAUGUGUUUUCAUUAUUGUAUCUCCUCCAUUUUUUUCCUUUGCUAGAUUGAUGGGAUUCGGCUUUACCGGCAAAGAUCCAGUUGCGAAAUAGAGCUUCCCUGCGGUGCAGGUAUAUCUCUUUGUUCGUGUUGGCGUGUGCAGGUGUAUUAUGCAAAUAAUGCAUAAAGGCUGUUGUAUUUACCAUUUUUUUUGGUUAUUUCCAUACAUUUGUAGGCCGUUCCAUCUUUUUCUAGCUCAUUCCCACACUUGUUCCCUUUCAAAGAAAACAUCCCUUGCUUGAUUCCCUGUGCAAUUGACCAGGUGUGCUGUUGUUUUCUCAGGUUGGAACUUUAUGAUGAUUCAUCUCUUUUUGUGUGUGUGUAUCAUUUAGUUUUUUUUAUGCUAUAUUACAUCGUUUGAUGCUAAUAUUGAUUUAAUUUCCUGUGCUGCAGUGUUGUUAUUAAUGUUUACAUAAACCAUAAGAAUAAGUUUGCUUUUGUGGAGAUGCGAUUUGUUGAAGAUGGCAAGUAACACAAUGUCUUUGGGUUGUAUUCGAGGUAGGAUUUUAAUGUUAACCCUUCUACCAUAUAGUUGUUUGAGUUUUAGUUUUGGUGGUCUAUAGAUGAACAACUAUUUUUCACACAUAAAUAACAAUUACCAAGAUCUCUCUGGUACAGAUAUGGCAUCAAAUGGGAGAUAAAACGCUUACUGUGAGACAUGCGAAUCAGGGAACAAUGCAACCGAAACCUGAACAAGAGAGUAUAUUAUUGCAUAUGCACAAUAGCAGAUUGCUUUUCAGGCAAACUAAUUUUUGUUACACUUUUGUAUAGAUUUUUAUAACACAUUAAGAUGUUAGCAACCUCUGUCUCUUAAUGGUUUAUCAAUUGUAGAAUUGUUCUCUUUUGCAGAUGAACAUGUAACAGCCGGGCCCAGUGGUAACAACAGUUGUAUGCUAUACUCAAGUUGUGACCGAGGAUUAUCUCAGAGACAACAUGGAAGACAUGAGACAAGAAGGGUGAAAGUUUGGUAAGCGAUGUUUAUAUUGUAUUUUAUUAUCCAUUUGGAGAUAAUAAAUAUUAAAAGCAUAUAUUGAUUUGUCUCUCUAUUUUCUUUGGUUUGUAUAUGACUGUUUUACAGCUUUUGUUAUAAGAAUCAGCCCUAACAUACCCAGACUGAGACUGCAUAGGCGUAUACAUGUGUAAGGGUUCUUGAAGUAUGGUGAUACUGAUGGUUUUUCAAGUACAAGAAGCAUGGAUGAAUGGUAGAAAGCUUGGAGGGACGAAGUGUUUGCUGUGUUUUACCCUAAUGACAAGUUUUAUUAGUACGAAACCUGAACUCAUCCUUUUUCUUUACUUUCUAAGACCUUUUAAGUUAUGUUAUUGCUUCAGUUAAAACGACCCUUUGCGUGUGGUUUGAAGACCAGCAGAUUAUCUUAAUAAAGUUUUUUUAAUAAAGUAAUAUUCAUAGAUGAUUAAAAAAUGCUUUGACAAAAAGAAAAUUGGGUUUGUUCAGGCAAGUAUAUGCUAUGCUAAUCAUAUAAAUGCAUAAUUUAGUUUCAUGCUAACCAUUUUUAAAACUUUAUUGAUAAUUUAUUUCAGACCUCUCUAUUGUGUAGAUAUUAUUGAACUUACAUAUAUAUUUAAAAAAAUCAAAUUAAUAAUCGACCAUCAAAUGUUUGGAAAUAAUAUUUUUUUUAUAUAUUUUAGAAUCCUAUCACAUUCAUUUGAGUCAACUAAUUCCCACCCAAACAUAUUUCGUGGAAUCAAUCCUAAAUUAACAUCAACCUCAUGAUCCUCUAAGAAAUACAAACCUCUUUGGAUAACUAUAUAUGCUUCACAUAACUAUUUAAUAUUCACAAAUUGUGACCUCAAGAAAUUAUAAGAAUCCAGACCUUAAUUCUUAGAGAAACCCGUAAGGAGGAGUUUGGAAUUAAACGUUUAGGUAGAAAGUGCUCCACAAUAAACAUUAUAUCAUGCAGAACUUACACAAUACACAACGCAUGUUGAGAAGGCUAGAUGAGACAACAAUCACCAAUUACGCGGGAUCCAAAAUUCAUGCAACACCAACAGAAAUAACAUAUAAGUAGAGCUGUAGAGAUGGAAACCAGCAUGAUAUCCAUAACUGUAGAAAUAUCUAUAUAUGGCUACAUAAACACGGCAAAUAACAUAAUUCAUAUCCAAAACCGUUCACAUUUUUUAGUUUAAUAAAACUAAAUCUGUGAACAAAGAUAUUAACAUAACUUAAACUACCAUGUAUUUAUAUGACUGCCAUCGUUCAACAUAGUGGGACAUUUAUUGCAAUAAAAUAGAAGUGAUAAUCACGAGAAUAAUAGAAUCUGAAAGGCUGCAGAAAACUGAAAUCAUGCUUGAUGAAGAUAAACCAAAUCAAAUCACCAGUCUAAAGAGGCACACUAAAUGCCCAUAAAAGGUGAAUAGCUGAAUUAAUACAAGAUCUACAGUCUUAAGAAUCAGUUACUUAAAUCCCGUUGAAACAAAGUAUUUAACCAAUACGGUCACAAUGAAGUCUCCAACAAAUUACCACAUCUUUGGUAUAGACAAAAUAUACGAAGAUUGUUACUACUUUAAGAGGAUGAACCAAUUUGUUAUCUUACUUCAAACAAGAUAAUCAUAAAAACAAACACAAGCAUUCACAUGUUUCCUCUUUAAACAUAAAAUUUACUUAUGUUUAAAUUUCAAUUGAAUUUACUUUGUUACGACUAUAAGCUUUUUGUAUUCUAUUUUAUUGAAGAGAUUAAUCAUAACCGUUUAUGCUAUUCCACAUUGACCUAAGUAACUUCAAAACAAAGUAAUACACUAUUGUCGGUAACCACUAUCAAAUGGAUAAAAAAAUCAUUAUUUUUCAACAUAUAUUCAUCUUCGUGUUUUGAACUUAUUUUCUUUACAAAGACCAUAAAAUACAUUGUUGAUUUAUUUAGAAUAAGAACAACAAACCCGGUGACCACUAGUCUAUACUCCCUCCGUUCCAUUAAGAUAGACUUUUUAGAAAGAAGUUUGUUUCAAAAAGAUGUAUUUUUGUGUUUUCUAUGAAAAAAUUGUAAACUUCAAAAAUAUUAAUUGACUUUGGUGAAUUAUUAUUGGUUAAAAGUUAUUGAAAAUUACAAAAAAACGAUACAUUUAUUAUAGUAGUUUAAUGUGUUUUCUUAAUAUGUGUAAAAAUACUAAAAAGUAUAUCGUUGAAGAACGGAGAGAGUUGAAGAGAAAUGCUCCAUAAUGCGCCACGUCAUCCCUCUUAUCCCCAUUUUGCGACACUUGUCGAACAGAGAGACAACUUUUUCUUUUUGCUUUUGUUUUCAACUAGCGGAUCUUCUUCUUCUUCUUUUCUCUUUGGUGUUUCAAACUCGUCGAUGAGUAGGGGUUUAUGAUAAUUUAUUGAGCCUUUAUGUUUAUUUAUUGGCCCAUACUUUAUGUUUAUAUUCAUUAUCAAAUUAAAACAAAAAUCCCCUCAUUCUGUCUCACAAAAACCAAAACAUAACCUACAUAUAUAAAAACUACACUACAUGAAACAUAAAAGUGUGUGAGUUCUCGGUAUAACUGACGCGGGCACACCGUCUGCAAAAACAAACAAAGUAUAUAUUUCCAAACGAACAUCUAUCAUACUAAGAAAAAUCUCAUUAUGAGAAUCAUGCAAAUGCAAAAAUAACUAAUAUUAUCCAGCUCUCAUACAAAUACACACUACACAUCAUUAUAUAUGGUCUUCGAAAUAAGUAAAAACUCAAUCAAGACAAAACAUCAAACUUAUCACAAACCAUUGACUCGAAAUGUUAACGCCCCCUGAAUAAAUGGACAUUUGAACUAAACGGUUGAAAAUUUAAAGAGAAAAAAAGACUUAAACAAACCUUCUAUAAGACAUAGUUAUAACAACUUAUCCUCACACAAAAUACUAUACCAUGAAUAACAGACCACUUUUCUCUUAUCAGCUCUCACACCAAACAUAAUCUACAUGAGCAAACCCACGACAAACACUACAAGUCUACGUCCACAGGCUCAACACACAACAAUCCAUCAUUGAUUUUUAGCUACCGUUUAUCAUUGACAAUCAAGGUAAUUUAAAAGACUCAACAACUGAGUACAUGGAAUUAAUGCUAACAUACCAUCACAUUCACCACCCCGACUCAACCUUGCUUAUUCAAGAGACUACUGAAUACGUAAUGAAUAAACUGCCAAACAGCUACAAUACCAUAAUUAAUGAUCUCCAAGUUACUAUUACCAUCUAGGACUACAACCAAAAUGCGACUGCAAGACUUGACGUCAAUCUUAUCAUCACAGAUCUAGAGGAAACAAAUAGCCCUCCAGCUACAAAAGAAGAAAACGAUAUAUGCACUAUCUGCUUUAGAAAUUACAACUAUGGAAACAAACUUUGCUCUCUUACUUGCGGUCAUAAUUUUUAUUUUACAUGCAUUGAUCAAUGGCUUCGUACAAACAAAAACUACCCAAUAUGUAGGGAAAGUAAUCUAUGAUUCCACCCUUAAUAUGAUUAAUAACAUGGAAUAUCAUGUUUUAAUUUCUAAUUUUAUUUGUGUAGUAUUUUCUACUUUGGUUUUUCAUUUCCAAACACAAUUAUUAAUAAUUUAUCCUCAUUAAUAAAUCUUUUCCAUUCACACUAUUAUUUUAUUAUAUAAAAACUAACAUCAAUAAAGACAAACAAUACAUGACACAC